CUACUCCUUCUGCUCCUCUGGGAUCACUGAACCGAAACCCAACAGCUCCCUCGCUCGGUCACGGGUGGGAACUACACCCAGAGAUGUCUGUGCCGGUAUCUCCAUUUCCAUCCGAGAACCAGCGGCUCCAUCUGGCCCAGAGAGACGCCAUGAGACCGGCAAACCUCCAAGCUCUCUCUUCUGCUGGACCAUCCCAGUACAAAGACGCAGUCUUGGCUCUCUCCUGUGGGGGGCCCUCUGUGACUUUCCAUGUCAAACACACACAGACUUUUGUAUUUCUCCUUUUGAGCAAUUCCGUUCUGAAGACGAAGGUUUUCUUCUUUUCAAGAAAGCUGCAACAGCAGUAGAGGAGAGGGAACACACACGCGUAAAACAAACAAGGCACAUUACGCGCUGAAAAAACAA